rnacentral:rRNA from 1 species
GUUUCAGCCGCCGCGGUAAUACGGAGGGGGCAAGCGUUGUUCGGAAUUACUGGGCGUAAAGGGCGCGUAGGCGGCCUGUUGCGUCAGGUGUGAAAGCCCCGGGCUCAACCUGGGAUGUGCACUUGAUACGGGCGGGCUGGAAUCCGGGAGAGGAUGGUGGAAUUCCCAGUGUAGAGGUGAAAUUCGUAGAUAUUGGGAAGAACACCGAUGGCGAAGGCAGCCAUCUGGACCGGUAUUGACGCUGAGGCGCGAAAGCGUGGGGAGCAAACAGGAUUAGAAACCCCUGUAGUCC